GUACCGUGAGGGAAAGGUGAAAAGUACCCCUGUUAGGGGAGUGAAAUAGUACCUGAAACCGUGUAUCUACAAGCAGUGGGAGCACUAUGGCCCUGUCUUCGGACGGGAGUCCAGUGCAACCGCGUGCCUUUUGCAUAAUGAGCCGGCUAGUUACUGUCACUGGCAAGACGAAGCAUCAUGCAUAGUCGAAGCGAAAGCGAGUCUGAAUAGGGCGUACAGUCAGUGGUAGUAGACGCGAAACGAGGUGAUCUACCCAUGGCCAGGGUGAAGCUGAGGUAACACUCAGUGGAGGCCCGAACCAGUGUCGGUUGAAAACGGCUUGGAUGAGCUGUGGGUAGGGGUGAAAGGCUAAUCAAACCUCGUAAUAGCUCGUUCUCCUCGAAAUAGCUUUAGGGCUAGCCUCGUGGAUGCAUCGCGGAGGUAGAGCACUGAAUGGAUUAGGGGGCCCACAAGCUUACCGACUCCAAUCAAACUCCGAAUGCCGCAGAUGUGAACCGCGGGAGUCAGACUACGGGGGAUAAGCUCCGUGGUCGAGAGGGAAACAACCCAGAUCGCCAGCUAAGGUCCCUAAAUAUCAGCUAAGUGGGAAAGGUUGUGGAGACGCACAGACAGCCAGGAGGUUGGCUUAGAAGCAGCCAUCCUUUAAAGAAAGCGUAACAGCUCACUGGUCUAAAUAAGGGUUUCUGCGCCGAAAAUGUAACGGGGCUAAAGCCAUACACCGAAACUGCGAGCGUGACUUGUCACGCGGUAGCGGAGCGUUCCGUAAGUCUGCGAAGGGUCACCGUGAGGUGGCUUGGAGACAUCGGAAGUGAGAAUGCUGACAUGAGUAACGAUAAAGAGUGUGAGAGACACUCUCGCCGAAAAUCCAAGGGUUCCUGCGUAAAGCUAAUCUGCGCAGGGUUAGCCGGCCCCUAAGGCGAGGCCGAAAGGCGUAGUCGAUGGGAACUGGGUUAAUAUUCCCAGGCCAGUGAGUGGUGACGAAUGCUGUAAGUUGUCUGUCCUAAUCGGAUUGGAUGGGCCGCGAAGGUGUUCCAGGAAAUAGCCCUCACAUUAGACCGUACCCGAAACCGACACAGGUGGAUUGGUAGAGUAUACCAAGGCGCUUGAGAGAACCGCAUUGAAGGAACUCGGCAAAAUACCCCCGUAACUUCGGGAGAAGGGGGCCCGGCCUUUGGGCAACCAUUGGUCGGGGGCACAGACCAGGGGGUGGCGACUGUUUAGUAAAAACAUAGGGCUCUGCGAAGUCGCAAGACGACGUAUAGGGUCUGACGCCUGCCCGGUGCCGGAAGGUUAAGAGGAGGGGUUAGCUUCGGCGAAGCUCUGAAUCGAAGCCCCGGUGAAUGGCGGCCGUAACUAUGACGGUCCUAAGGUAGCGAAGUUCCUUGUCGGGUAAGUUCCGACCUGCACGAAUGGCGUAACGAUGGCGGCGCUGUCUCCACCCGAGACUCAGUGAAAUUGAAAUCGCUGUGAAGAUGCAGUGUAUCCGCGGCUAGACGGAAAGACCCCGUGAACCUUUACUAUAGCUUUGCACUGGACUUUGAAUUUGCUUGUGUAGGAUAGGUGGGAGGCUGUGAAAUGGAGACGCAAGUCUUUGUGGAGCCGCAAGUGAAAUACCACCCUUGUUAUACUAGAAUUCUAACUGGUGUCCGUAGAUCCGGUACCAGAACAGUGCUUUGUGGGCAGUUUGGCUGGGGCGGUCUCCUCCUAAAAGGUAACGGAGGAGUUCAAAGCUACUCUCAGCACGGUUGGCAAUCGUGCGUAGAGCGUAAAGGUAGAAGGGUAGUUGACUGUGAGACUUAUAAGUCGAGCAGGUGUGAAAGCAGGACUUAGUGAUCCGGUGGUCCCGAGUGGAAGGGCCAUCGCUCAACAGAUAAAAGGUACUCCGGGGAUAAC
rnacentral:rRNA from 1 species